rnacentral:rRNA from 1 species
AGAGUUUGAUCCUGGCUCAGAACAAACGCUGGCGGCGUGUCUUAAGCAUGCAAGUUGAGCGGCAAGGAGGAGAGAUCCUCCCUAGAGCAGCGGACUGGUGAGUAACGCGUGGGUAAUCUAUCUUAGGCAUGGGGAUAGUCACUAGAAAUAGUGGGUAAUACCGAAUAAGUUCCAUAAGGGGAGGACUUAUGGAAGAAAGGUGCUACGGCACUGGCCUUAGGUGAGCUCGCGUCCCAUUAGCUAGUUGGUGAGGUAAAGGCCCACCAAGGCGAUGAUGGGUAGCCGGCCUGAGAGGGUGUACGGCCACACUGGGACUGAGAUACGGCCCAGACUCCUACGGGAGGCAGCAGCUAAGAAUAUUCCGCAAUGGACGGAAGUCUGACGGAGCGACGCCGCGUGGAUGAAGAAGGCCGAAAGGUUGUAAAGUUCUUUUGCUAGGGGAGAAUAAGUGUGGGAGGGAAUGCCUGCACGAUGACAAGGACUAGCGAAUAAGUCCCGGCCAACUACGUGCCAGCAGCCGCGGUAACACGUAGGGGGCGAGCGUUGUUCGGAAUUACGGGCGUAAAGGGCAUGUAGGCGGCUUGGUAAGCCUGGCGUGAAAGUCUGCAGCUUAACUGUAGGGAUGCGUUGGGAACUGCUUAGCUUGAGUUACGGAGAGGGAGCUGGAAUUCCUGGUGUAGGGGUAAAAUCUGUAGAUAUCAGGAAGAACACCGAUGGCGAAGGCAAGCUUCUGGCCGACAACUGACGCUGAGGUGCGAAAGUGUGGGGAUCAAACAGGAUUAGAUACCCUGGUAGUCCACACAGUAAACGAUGUGCACGAGGUGCUGGGGCGGUAGUUUCAGUGCCGGAGCGAACGCGGUAAGUGCACCGCCUGGGGAGUAUGCUCGCAAGGGUGAAACUCAAAGGAAUUGACGGGGGCCCGCACAAGCGGUGGAGCAUGUGGUUUAAUUCGAUGGUACACGAGGAACCUUACCUGGGUUUGACAUACGGAGGGAAGUGGCAGAGAUGUCACUGCGUAGAGAUACGGCUCCGUACAGGUGCUGCAUGGCUGUCGUCAGCUCGUGCCGUGAGGUGUUGGGUUAAGUCCCGCAACGAGCGCGACCCCUACUGUCAGUUACUAACAGGUUAAGCUGAGGACUCUGGCGGAACUGCCGGUGACAAACCGGAGGAAGGUGGGGAUGACGUCAAGUCAUCAUGGCCCUUAUGUCCAGGGCUACACACGUGCUACAAUGGGCGAGACAGAGUGAAGCGAAGCCGAGAGGUGGAGCAAAUCGCAGAAAAUCGCUCUCAGUUCGGAUUGGAGUCUGAAACUUGACUCCAUGAAGGUGGAAUCGCUAGUAAUCGCGCAUCAGCAUGGCGCGGUGAAUACGUUCCCGGGCCUUGUACACACCGCCCGUCACACCAUCCGAGUGGGGGGUACCCGAAGCCGUUAGUCCAACCAGAAAUGGGGGGCGACGUCGAAGGUACGUCUUGUGAGGAGGGUGAAGUCGUAACAAGGUA